GCGCGACAAAUGGCAGAAAUAAAAUCCCACAAUAGCACUAUGAAGGAUGUUUAAAAAAUGAAUGAAAGCCUAUUGGGUUGUCUCAUGCUGAGGAAGUUCCCUGGAUGUUUAUGUUAUGAUGUAUGAGGCCAUUUUAUCUUAGACAGCGCAAGAAAUAUAAUGGAAAGCAAUAUUAAUCAGUUCAACGAUAUUGACUGUUUAAGAACAAGGCACCCAAAUUCAGCUGCAGUAUUCAUGGCUGAACACUUCCACCGCGACCAAAGAAAUCCAUCACAAGCUGAAUUCCUAAUGGUGCUACAGCACGCUCAUCACAGCGUCUUUAACCAAACAUUGUUCAUUUCAUGAUUUAAGGAUUUUUGGAUUCUGAAGAAAGCCACAUGUAACACGAGCUCCUGCUGAGACCCAGGACCCACACACUGCUCUGGACAGCAGUGUUACUGGUUGUUGCUGCAAACAGCCACUGAAUGAGAGUCAGCGAUUUUCUGCAAGGACGAUCAAACAAGAGUGUAAAUGCAAUUGCCUGUUGAGCUAAUAAUACACAGAGAAGAAAUCAAAGGAGAGUCAACAUUUUAUGUUGGAUGAUGUGGGAAUGGCAAGUUUACAAUUCAGUCCUGAACUGGUGAAGUAGGAAGUAUGGCAUAGGAAUAACAAGCAAAAGCGGCCAACACUGAAACAACCUCUCAUCACCCCAUCCCCAUUGCAGCUCAUCAUAAAGAACUGCUCCUUCCUGUCUCUUCCUAACUUCUACAGAAGCAUCACAGAAAGCAUACUGCUGGGUUGCAUCGCAGUUUGAUUUGGGGACAGCUCUGCAAGAAAUUGCAGAGUUGUGGAUGUAGCAAAGUCCAUCUCACAGACCAGACUCCCCACCAUUGUCUCCAAGACUUCACACUGACUCGGGAAAGCAGUCAACAUAAUCAAAGACAUUUUCCACCCCUUCUUCUCGCUCCUGUCAGGUAAGAUGCAGAACUUUGAAAGCAUACAUCACCAGACUCAGGAACAGUUUCUUCCCCUGUGUUAUCCGGCUUUGGAAUGGUCCUUCCAUAAGCUAGGGCACAGUCCGAUUCCCCUCUACCUUGUCAUGGACGCUGCACUUUGUCUCUGGAACUCUCUAUCUCACUCUACCUAUUGUAUGUGAGUUUGGUUUGAUUGAAUUUAUGUAUAAUAUUAUCUGGCUUGAUUGGUUGGCAUACAAAACAAAGAUUUUCACUGUACCUUGGAACACGUGACAAUAAUAAACGUAACCUAAUCAAACCU